GGAGUAUUCGGGUUCCGGGGGGAGUAUGGUCGCAAGGCCGAAACUUAAAGGAAUUGACGGAAGGGCACCACCAGGAGUGGAAUCUGCGGCUUAAUUUGACCCAACGCGGGAAAACUCACCAGGUCAGGACACGGUAAGGAUUGACGGACUGAAGGCUCUUUCUCGAUUCCGUGGAAAGUGGUGCAUGGCCGUUUUUGGUUGGUGGAUCGAUCCGUCUGGUUAAUUCCGUUAACGAACGAGACCUCGGCACUCCGAAUAGCGCGGCGGACGUCGCGGCCUCCGGGCCGUCUUCCGCACGAGCUUCUUAGAGGGACCGUCCCCCGCCGGGGAAGGAGGUGCGAGGCAACGACAGGUCUGUGAUGCCCUUAGAUGUUCUGGGCCGCACGCGCAUUACACUGACGCGUCCAACGGGUGACUCCCGACCCGAAGGGGCCGGGGAAUCCGGCAAGGCGCGUCGUGAUGGGGAUUGAACGUUGCAAUUGUUGUUCACGAACGAGGAAUUCCUAGUAGGCGCGGUCAUCAACCCGCGCCGAUUACGUCCCUGCCCUUUGUACACACCG
rnacentral:rRNA from 1 species